CAAUGACAGCCACAAAGGGAUGCGAACCUGCAGGGGGAGCGAACCCAGAAAAGCUGUCCCAGUUCGGAUUGUAGUCUGCAACCCGACUACAUGAAGCUGGAAUCGCUAGUAAUCGCGAAUCAGAAUGUCGCGGUGAAUACGUUCCCGGGUCUUGUACACACCGCCCGUCACACCAUGGGAGCCGGGGGUGCUUGAAGGCCGUGACCGCGAGGAGCGGCCUAGGGUAAAACUGGUGACUGGGGCUAAGUCGUAACAAGGUACC
rnacentral:rRNA from 1 species